AGGCCAGACUCCUACGGGAGGCAGCAGUGAGGAAUAUUGGUCAAUGGGCGCGAGCCUGAGCCAGCCAAGUCGCGUGAGGGAUGACGGCCCUACGGGUUGUAAACCUCUUUUGUCGGGGAGCAAAUUCCGCCACGUGUGGCGGAGUCGAGAGUACCCGAAGAAAAAGCAUCGGCUAACUCCGUGCCAGCAGCCGCGGUAAUACGGAGGAUGCGAGCGUUAUCCGGAUUUAUUGGGUUUAAAGGGUGCGCAGGCGGAAGAUCAAGUCAGCGGUAAAAUUGGGAGGCUCACCCUCUGCGAGCCGUUGAAACUGGUUUUCUUGAGUGAGCGAGAAGUAUGCGGAAUGCGUGGUGUAGCGGUGAAAUGCAUAGAUAUCACGCAGAACUCCGAUUGCGAAGGCAGCAUACCGGCGCUCAACUGACGCUCAUGCACGAAAGUGUGGGUAUCGAACAGGAUUAGAUACCCUCGUA
rnacentral:rRNA from 1 species